rnacentral:rRNA from 1 species
GACGAACGCUGGCGGCGUGCUUAACACAUGCAAGUCGAACGGGAGGUCCCUGCUUGGGUGGGGUGCUCGAGUGGCGAACGGGUGAGUAACACGUGAGUAACCUGCCCUUGACUGUGGGAUAACUUCAGGAAACUGGGGCUAAUACCGGAAAGGAGCUGCUGCUGCAUGGUGGGGGUUGGAAAGUUUCGGCGGUUGGGGAUGGACUCGCGGCUUAUCAGGUUGUUGGUGGGGUGGUGGCUUACCAAGGCGUUGACGGGUAGCCGGCCUGAGAGGGUGACCGGCAACAUUGGGAGUGAGCUACGGCCCAGACUACUACGGGAGGCAGCAGUGGGGAAUAUUGCCCAAUGGGCGGAAGCCUGAUGCAGCAACGCCGCGCGCGGGAUGACGGCCUUCGGGUUGUAAAGCGCUUUCGCCUGUGACGAAGCGUGAAUGACGGUAAUGGGUAAAGAAGCACCGGCUAACUCCGUG